rnacentral:lncRNA from 10 species
UUUAGUUUCUUCCUCUUUCUUUCCCUUUCUUCUUCCUUCCUUCCUUUCGUCUUUCUUGUCUUUCUGUCUUUCUUUCUCUUUCUUUUUUUUGAGACAGAGUUUCACUCUGUCGGCCAGGCUGGAGUGCAGUGGCACAAUCUUGGCUCACUACAACCUCUGCCACCCGAGUUCAAGCGCUUCUCCUGCCUCAGCCUCCCGAGUAGCUGGGAUUACAGGUGCCUGCCAUUGCAUCCGACUAAUUUUUGUAUUUGUAGUAAAGACAGGGUUUCACCAUCUUGGCCAGGCUGGUUUUGAACUCCUGACCUUGUGAUCCACCUGCCUCAGCCUCCCAAAGUGCUGGGAUUACAGGCGUAAGCCACCGCGUCCAGCCUGUUUCUUUCUUAAAGUAUUUCAUUUUUGUUUUAUGGAUAUCACAUCUUCUGUCUCUGAGGAUAUUGGCAGGUUUUUAUAAAUUUUUUUUUUUUUUUGAGACAUGAUCUGGCUCUGUUGCCCAGGCUGGAGUGUAGUGGUUUGAUCAUAGUUCACUGCAGUCUCAAACUCCUGGGCUUAAGUGAUCCUUCUACCUCAACCUUCUGAGUAGCUAGGACUACAGGCAUGCACCACCACACCUUGCUAAUUUUUAUUUUAUUUUUUUUGUAGAGACAGGGUCUCACUUUUUUGCCUAGGCUGUUCUCAAACUCCUGGUCUCAAGCAAUUCUCCCACCUUGUCCUGCCAAAGUGCUCGAAUUGCAGGUGUGAGCCACUAUACCCAACCAAGUUUUUCAUUUUUUAAAUUAUGCCUUUUAAUUUCUAAGGUCUCUCUUCUGUUCUGUGAACAUUUCUUUCUUAAAGCAUUCCAUUUUUGUUUUAUGAGUACCACAUCAUCUGUCCCUGAGGAUACUGAUUUCUUUUUUAGAAAUUUUCUUUUUUCUUUUUUUUUUUUUUUUGAGACAGGGUCCUGCUCUGUUGCCCAGGCUGGAGUGUAGUGGCACAAUCAUAGCUCACUGCAGCCUUGACCUAUGGGCUCAAGUGAUCCUCUUACCUCAGCCUCCUGAGUAGCUAGGACUACAGGUGUGUACCACCACACCCUGCUAAUUUUAAAAUUUUUUUUUUUUUUUUGAGACAGAGUCUCGCUCUUGUUGUCUAGGCUGGACUGCAAUGGUGUGAUCUCGGGUCACUGCAACCUCUGCCUCUGGGGUUCAAGUGAUUCUCCUGCCUCAGCCUCCCGGGUAGCUGGGAUUACAGGCACCUGCCACCACGCUCGGCUAAUUUUGUAUUUUUAGUAGAGACGGGGUUUCUCCGUGUUGGUCAGGCUGGUCUCGAACUCCUGACCUCAGGUGAUCCACCUGCCUUGGCCUCCCAAAGUGCUGGGAUUACAGGCAUGAGCCCCCACACCCAGCCAAUUUAAAAAUUUUUUUUUAUAGAGACAAGGUCUUGCUUUGUUGUCCAGGCUGGUCUUGAACUCCUGGUCUCCAGCACUUCUCCUGUCUUGGCCUCCCAAAGUGCUGGGAUUACAGGUGGGAGCCACUACACUCAGCCAGAAGUUUUUCCUAAGAAUAGUCUCUGUUUCCUCCAAGUUACUUUUCUACUUGUUUGUUGUUUGGCAUCUGUCUUUCAUGUUAUGGACUUUUCUCAAAUAUCUGAUGAUCACGGCAUGGAAACAGAUGGGAAACACCACAUAAGCAGGAAACGGCAACCUAGAGGAAAUGGAGACUAUCCUUAGAAAAGAAAACUGCUACAAACCUAUCAAUGUUCUCUGAGACAGA